rnacentral:lncRNA from 1 species
AAAGGAAUAACAUGUUCCUCAUGAAUAGUAAUUUUCUUUGAAACAAACCUAUGGAAGCCAAACUUGCAGAUUUGUCUGAUUGGGAAAGAAGCUCUCAUGGUGAAGCACAGAACAGAGUACUGCCGACUACCUGGGAUGUGUGCUGAGCUUACAAGGCCCAGAUUGAACUUGGAAACAUAACGGUCAAAGGGUGGGGACCGGAUUUCUCUGAGACAAAGCAAGAGUGAACUUCUUCUGGAGUCCAAAAGAAUAAUGUUCUCCUUCUGACAUCUUCUGAGAAAGCCUCUAAUUGCUUUACUGGAAUAACUUGCUUGGAAAGAAAAGAGUUGCUAAGCAAUACUAAUGACAGUCAAAAGCCCACCAACCAUAAUAAUUCCAAUUAUAGGGUAAGCUAGAAGUUAUCUCUCCUUACGUCAGGCCUGUAGAAUAAGGGUGGGAAAUGUAUGAAUUCUCAGGUUGGCAGGAUUCGGGGCACACCUGAGGUCUCAGGGAAGUACUAUACAUCCUUAGAU